ACUUCGGUAGAAACUCUUAGUGGCGAACGGGUGAGUAACGCGUUGGUGACCUGCCCCGAGGAGGGGGACAACAGCUCGAAAGGGCUGCUAAUACCCCAUGUGAUCUAGAAGGCUAGAGGCUUUUAGAUGAAAGGAGAAAUCCACUUCGGGAGGGGCCUGCGUCCCAUCAGCUAGUUGGUAGGGUAACGGCCUACCAAGGCGAAGACGGGUAGGGGACCUGAGAGGGUGACCCCCCACAAUGGAACUGAAACACGGUCCAU
rnacentral:rRNA from 1 species